rnacentral:rRNA from 1 species
CAGCCGCCGCGGUAAUACCGGCGGCCCGAGUGGCGGUCACUAUUAUUGGGCUUAAAGCGUCCGUAGCCGGGUUGGGAAGUCCUCCGGGAAAUCUGGCCGCUUAACGGUCAGAAUGCCGGAGGAUACUCCCAGCCUAGGGAGCGGGAGAGGCCGAGGGGAUUCCCGGAGUAGGGGUGAAAUCCUAUAAUCCCGGGAGGACCACCUGGGGCGAAGGCGCUCGGCUGGAACGCGUCCGACGGUGAGGGACGAAGGCCAGGGGAGCAAACCGGAUUAGAUACCCGGGUAGUCCUGGCGGUAAACGAUGCGGACUUUGUGUCGGACAAGCUAUGAGCUUGUCCGGUGCCGGAGGGAAACCGUUAAGUCCGCCGCCUGGGGAGUACGGCCGCAAGGCUGAAACUUAAAGGAAUUGGCGGG